rnacentral:rRNA from 1 species
GAAUGCUGACAUAAGUAACGAUAAAGCGGGUGAAAAGCCCGCUCGCCGGAAGACCAAGGGUUCCUGUCCAACGUUAAUCGGGGCAGGGUGAGUCGACCCCUAAGGCGAGGCCGAAAGGCGUAGUCGAUGGGAAACGGGUUAAUAUUCCCGUACUUGGUGUUACUGCGAAGGGGGGACGGAGAAGGCUAUGUUGGCCGGGCGACGGUUGUCCCGGUUUAAGCGUGUAGGUGUGUGUUCCAGGUAAAUCCGGUUCACUUUAACACUGAGGCGUGAUGACGAGGCACUACGGUGCUGAAGCAACAAAUGCCCUGCUUCCAGGAAAAGCCUCUAAGCAUCAGGUAACAUCAAAUCGUACCCCAAACCGACACAGGUGGUCAGGUAGAGAAUACCAAGGCGCUUGAGAGAACUCGGGUGAAGGAACUAGGCAAAAUGGUGCCGUAACUUCGGGAGAAGGCACGCUGACACGUAGGUGAAGUGAUUUACUCACGGAGCUGAAGUCAGUCGAAGAUACCAGCU